GACGGAGGGGGCAAGCGUUGUCCGGACUCACUGGGCGUAAAGGGUGCGUAGGCGGUCAUAUGCGUCGGCGCUGAAAUCCCAGGGCUUAACCUUGGGGCGCGUGCCGAUACGAUGCGACUGGAGGCAUGGAGAGGGUGGGGGAACUCCUGGUGUAGUGGUGAAAUGCGUAGAGAUCAGGAAGAACACCCGUGGCGCAAGCGCCCACCUGGCCAUGACCUGACGCUGAGGCACGAAAGCGUGGGGAGCGAACCGG
rnacentral:rRNA from 1 species